CAACGCGAAAAACCUUACCUACCCUUGACAUGUCUGGAAAGCCGAAGAGAUUUGGCCGUGCUCGCAAGAGAACCGGAACACAGGUGCUGCAUGGCUGUCGUCAGCUCGUGUCGUGAGAUGUUGGGUUAAGUCCCGCAACGAGCGCAACCCUUGUCAUUAGUUGCUACGCAAGAGCACUCUAAUGAGACUGCCGGUGACAAACCGGAGGAAGGUGGGGAUGACGUCAAGUCCUCAUGGCCCUUAUGGGUAGGGCUUCACACGUCAUACAAUGGUCGGGACAGAGGGUCGCCAACCCGCGAGGGGGAGCCAAUCUCAGAAACCCGAUCGUAGUCCGGAUCGCAGUCUGCAACUCGACUGCGUGAAGUCGGAAUCGCUAGUAAUCGCGGAUCAGAAUGUCGCGGUGAAUACGUUCCCGGGUCUUGUACACACCGCCCGUCACACCAUGGGAGUGGGUUUCACCAGAAGUAGGUAGCCUAACCGUA
rnacentral:rRNA from 1 species